rnacentral:misc_RNA from 1 species
AAAAAAAAAAAAAAGAGAAAAAAGCGGUGUUGGAGUGAGUUUCAAUUGGUAGAUUCAUAUAGUAGAUGACUGAGAAUUUGAAAGGAAAGAGAUACUUCAGGUUAUCCAUGAAUCUCAAGUGGACAAGAAACCGGUGCUUUUGUUCACUGAGCCAAUGUGAGAGUUCUAAACUGAUGUAGCCAGUAACUAUGAAUUUGCUUCUAAACUGAUUAUUACAGCCCUAGGUAUAGCAUAAAUUCAAAUUGAAAUAGGUUUUGAACUUAAAAUCCUUAUAGUUAGGUUUUGACUGAGUAACAUAAUCAAAAGAUUAAGACAAGGCAUAUAUUAUAACUUUAAAUUUGAAACUGCUCCAGUACCAUGAGAGGUGAUGAGCUUCGUGAACAGUAAAACGAUUUAAACCUGCCCUUGCAUCAUGAUAACUCAUAAUUAGUUUAGUUAGUUUUAUAUAAUUGCGCACCACGAACUUGAGGUAUUAUCUUUACAUAUCUUGUGUGAAUGCACUUAUAUGUGAUAUAUAAUUUAGUCAUUUUUUCCCCAAUUUUUAUCAUGGAAACUGCAGGCAUUUUCACUGGAUUUCAACCUGAGGUCACACAUGAAAACGCAUUCACAAGAAAACUACCAUAUCUGCCCAUACUCAGAAUGUGGAAAGAGAUAUGCUC